GCCCCCACCGGCCUCGGCUCGGCCUGGCUGCGGAACGAGAUGCUUCAGCACAAUCAGUUCUGAGUGGCACCUGUGGGGAAGUGAACACUUAGGAAGAUGGAACCAGAAUGCAAAGUGACCUGGAGUUCUUAAGCAAGAGGAACUGAACGCAGUGAAUAUUUGGCACUAAGAAUAAAGAUGGGCGAGUAUCAACGGAUGGACAAAGUGAGGCACUGGGUGAUGAAAUGACUGUCUGAACAUGACACAGCAUAGCCAACAAUAGAAAGCAGGAGGUAUGACUCCUAUUUCAAUGUCUUGUUCACUGGGCAGCCUGGAAGCUCUCAAGAAUGCAUUCAAAGGAGGAACAGCCAAAUACCCAAAUCUUGUAACAUUAAAUUGAGUUUUGUUUCA